rnacentral:rRNA from 1 species
GGCGAACGGGUGAGUAACACGUGGGUGAUCUGCCUUGCACUCUGGGAUAAGCUUGGGAAACUGGGUCUAAUACCGGAUAGGAACCGUCUUUAGUGUGGUGGUUGGAAAGUUUUUUCGGUGCAAGAUGAGCUCACGGCCUAUCAGCUUGUUGGUGGGGUAAUGGCCUACCAAGGCGUCGACGGGUAGCCGGCCUGAGAGGGUGUACGGCCACAUUGGGACUGAGAUACGGCCCAG